rnacentral:rRNA from 1 species
UGAGGAAUAUUGGGCAAUGCCCGCAAGGGUGACCCAGCAACGCCGCGUGGAGGAUGAAGGCCGUAAGGUUGUAAACUCCUGUUAGAGGAGAAGAACAGUACCGAUUGGAUCGGUAUUUGACUGUACCCUCAGAGAAAGCCCCGGCUAACUACGUGCCAGCAGCCGCGGUAAUACGUAGGGGGCAAGCGUUGUCCGGAUUUACUGGGUGUAAAGGGCGCGCAGGCGGGAUAGCAAGUCAGAGGUGAAAUCC